GGGUAACCUGCCUGUAAGACUGGGAUAACUCCGGGAAACCGGAGCUAAUACCGGAUAGUUCCUUGAACCGCAUGGUUCAAGGAUGAAAGACGGUUUCGGCUGUCACUUACAGAUGGACCCGCGGCGCAUUAGCUAGUUGGUGGGGUAAUGGCUCACCAAGGCGACGAUGCGUAGCCGACCUGAGAGGGUGAUCGGCCACACUGGGACUGAGACACGGCCCAGACUCCUACGGGAGGCAGCAGUAGGGAAUCUUCCGCAAUGGACGAAAGUCUGACGGAGCAACGCCGCGUGAGUGAUGAAGGUUUUCGGAUCGUAAAGCUCUGUUGUUAGGGAAGAACAAGUGCGAGAGUAACUGCUCGCACCUUGACGGUACCUAACCAGAAAGCCACGGCUAACUACGUGCCAGCAGCCGCGGUAAUACGUAGGUGGCAAGCGUUGUCCGGAAUUAUUGGGCGUAAAGGGCUCGCAGGCGGUUUCUUAAGUCUGAUGUGAAAGCCCCCGGCUCAACCGGGGAGGGUCAUUGGAAACUGGGAAACUUGAGUGCAGAAGAGGAGAGUGGAAUUCCACGUGUAGCGGUGAAAUGCGUAGAGAUGUGGAGGAACACCAGUGGCGAAGGCGACUCUCUGGUCUGUAACUGACGCUGAGGAGCGAAAGCGUGGGGAGCGAACAGGAUUAGAUACCCUGGUAGUCCACGCCGUAAACGAUGAGUGCUAAGUGUUAGGGGGUUUCCGCCCCUUAGUGCUGCAGCUAACGCAUUAAGCACUCCGCCUGGGGAGUACGGUCGCAAGACUGAAACUCAAAGGAAUUGACGGGGGCCCGCACAAGCGGUGGAGCAUGUGGUUUAAUUCGAAGCAACGCGAAGAACCUUACCAGGUCUUGACAUCCUCUGACAACCCUAGAGAUAGGGCUUUCCCUUCGGGGACAGAGUGACAGGUGGUGCAUGGUUGUCGUCAGCUCGUGUCGUGAGAUGUUGGGUUAAGUCCCGCAACGAGCGCAACCCUUGAUCUUAGUUGCCAGCAUUUAGUUGGGCACUCUAAGGUGACUGCCGGUGACAAACCGGAGGAAGGUGGGGAUGACGUCAAAUCAUCAUGCCCCUUAUGACCUGGGCUACACACGUGCUACAAUGGACAGAACAAAGGGCUGCGAGACCGCAAGGUUUAGCCAAUCCCAUAAAUCUGUUCUCAGUUCGGAUCGCAGUCUGCAACUCGACUGCGUGAAGCUGGAAUCGCUAGUAAUCGCGGAUCAGCA
rnacentral:rRNA from 1 species